rnacentral:misc_RNA from 1 species
AGAACAUGGAGAUGGAAGAAAAAGGUAUGGGUUGUUCUUGAAUUUACACAUCAUCUUUAUCACUAUGAACAAUUAGAUCAAGUGCAAUAAUAUCAUGAUGAAUAUAUGUGAUUUAUUUUCUGUUUUGCUUGAGUGAUGGAUGCUUCGAAUAUUUUUUACGUGUAAUGCAACCUUUCCUGUAUUAAUUAUAACAAAACAUUUAUACUAUUGAAAAAAGGUAAUUGACACUUGAAAUACAAAGUCCUGUGGUUAAACAAUAUGGAUAUAUAUCUGAAUGUUUUUGUUGUCAAACCUUUUCUUUAGGGGCUUUGUUAAGAACUCAUUCUUUUUUGGCACUUUUAUAGUUCGUAGUUUGUUGAAAUUUCACUUUAUGCAGUUUUUUAUGUUUGUUAACGAGAAGUUGAUAUGUUCU